GACGAACGCUGGCGGCGUGCUUAACACAUGCAAGUCGAACGGAAAGGCCCUGCUUUUGUGGGGUGCUCGAGUGGCGAACGGGGGAGUAACAAGUGAGUAACCUGCCCUUGACUUUGGGAUAACUUCAGGAAACUGGGGCUAAUACCGGAUAGGAGCUCCUGCUGCAUGGGGGGGGUUGGAAAGUUUCGGCGGUUGGGGAUGGACUCGCGGCUUAUCAGCUUGUUGGUGGGGUAGUGGCUUACCAAGGCUUUGACGGGUAGCCGGCCUGAGAGGGUGACCGGCCACAUUGGGACUGAGAUACGGCCCAGACUCCUACGGGAGGCAGCAGUGGGGAAUAUUGCACAAUGGGCGGAAGCCUGAUGCAGCAACGCCGCGUGCGGGAUGACGGCCUUCGGGUUGUAAACCGCUUUCGCCUGUGACGAAGCGUGAGUGACGGUAAUGGGUAAAGAAGCACCGGCUAACUACGUG
rnacentral:rRNA from 1 species